rnacentral:rRNA from 1 species
GACGAACCGUGCGACCGUUAUUCGGAAUAACUGGGCUUAAAGGGCGCGUAGGCGGGCUAUCAAGUCUGGGGUGAAAUCCCACGGCUCAACCGUGGAACUGCCUUAGAUACUGACGGCCUCGAGGGAGAUAGGGGCAUGCGGAACUGUAGGUGGAGCGGUGAAAUGCGUUGAUAUCUACAGGAACUCCGGUGGCGAAAGCGGCGGGCUGGAUCUCGUCUGACGCUGAGGCGCGAAAGCUAGGGGAGCAAACAGG